rnacentral:lncRNA from 1 species
GUCCAGGAACGGCCCCUCACAGGCCCUUUGGCGAGCCAGCGGGGCAGGAGGCAAAGGGCCAUGGAAGCCUGGGUGCCCGGGCACUUGGCUGGGCCAGAGUUCAGGAGCAGAGCAUCCUGGCUUCCAAGGAACCAAGAGGAUCUGAAUUCAGAGACCAAGCCAGCUCCACACCUCACCCCGAUAGUGGUUUAGAUCAGAGGCUGGGCUCCUGUCGCAAGCCCUUCCAGGGUGGGGGGUGCAGAUGGGAGGGGGAGAACUACCCUAGAAUAACAAUUGGCUUCCAUAUAUUUCAGGUUGGCCAGUGGCUUGACAGACAUUAUCUCAUUGGAACCUUGCAACAGCCUUGAGAGGUUCCCUUCUCUCCCUGGAUCCCAUGACUUGUUCAGGGUCACACAACUUUAAACUGUCAGAGUAAGAUGGGGAGCUAGGCCUGCAUGACCCCCCCCCCAGCCUAACCCUUAGGCGAUUCUGCCUCUCCUAGCCUGGAUGUCAGAGGUUCUGCUCUACGCCUCAGGCACUCAGGGGCCAAGUCAGUGAUCCUCUGAAGACCCUGCAGCCUUCCUCUCAGGGCAGUCGUCCUCUGUGCCCCUCUUGCCCUUUGGGCCCCUUGAUUAGGCACGGUUCCCGUGGGAACAUUGGCACCAACAUCCGGAGCUCCCUGGGGUCUCCCUGCUACCUGCCCGCCGCUGCCGCUCCUAUCAAACCCUGGAACAAAGGCCCCGGUGCCUGCCACCCGGCUGGCUCUGUUUGCCCAAGGACAGCCACCCUGGGUGUCUCGACAACUGCUAGCCCUCCUGCCCUGGAGAAGGGAAAGGCCCACUCAGCAAGUCAGCCAGCAGCUCCCUGGGGAUCCCUCUGGAUCUCCUAGAAUCCGGGGACAGGUUGAGGCUACGUGACCAUUUUCAAUGUCAGUAGCUGGCAUUGUAGCACUUUACAUGUUAUUAAAAUAACUUUGGAGGUAGGUAGCAACUCCAUUUCACAGAAGAAGAAACUGAGGCUGAGAGGGAGGUUGGUGACUUGGCGGCCCAUCUACCUGACUCCAGUUCCGUCCCAUCUCCGGCUCCAUGCCUCCAUAGCCCCGGGGCCCCUCAAGGGUCAGCUCCUUCUCGCCGGCCCCCAUUCUUCCAGUUGUCAAAUCUCCCCCCCCCCCCCAUCUCACUGGCUACAGUGAACUCCCUCCCUUUGCAGUCCAGAGAGUAGCUCGAGGGCACUGAGAAAUCCAGCGACUUGGCCAAGAUCAUCCCUCAGUCCCUCUUUAUCCAACUUGUGUCGGCGUCCCGGCUCUUCCCCUUCCUAUCUGUGCAAUUUUGUGUGUCAGUGGGGCUCAGUUUGCUCAACUAUAGUGAAAAAGGGCUGAAUUUGGAGUUACGAGUCUUGGGCUUUUUCCGGCUUCUUUACCUCUGUUUCCUCCAUUCCACGUCUCCGGACCUCAGUUUAUCCAUCUGCGAAAUGAACCCGUUGUGCCAGAUGACCUAGGUGUGGAUCCUAGCCCAGGCGACCAGAGCCUUUUAGGGCGGCGGGAGAAAUCCCUGGAACGAAAGAAAGCCUGGAGCCGUGCACGGAGUGCGGACGGCGUGGAUGGACGCUGGGAGGCGCUGCACGCCCGCUUUAGCCCACCAGCAGGCGCCUCCUCCGCCCGGUUUCAGGUCCCAAUGCCAGAGGACUAAGGGGCGUGGCUCUCCCCCUGAUGGACGGCGUAGCUCCGCCCAAUCUAAUUCAUCUUUUCUUGAGCUCCGCCCACCUCCAGGUCGCUAAAUUCUGAGGGUGGGGCUGAGGGGGUCCCUGCCAACUGGGGACGCAGGGGGUGGUACUUGAGGGCGUGUCUCCCGCACCUGGCCUGCGUCCAUUGGCCUUAAGGAGGCUCGGGG